UGCGGAAGGAUCAUUACAAGUUGAGGCUACCGAACGUUGGAAACAGCGGUUAGGAGCUUACACCCACCCGUGUUUACAUACUAUUGUUGCUUUGGCGGGCCGUGGCCUCCACUGCGGGCUCUGCUCGUGUGUGCCCGCCAGAGAACCAAACUCUGAAUGUUAGUGAUGUCUGAGUACUAUCUAAUAGUUAAAACUUUCAACAACGGAUCUCUUGGUUCUGGCAUCGAUGAAGAACGCAGCGAAAUGCGAUAAGUAAUGUGAAUUGCAGAAUUCAGUGAAUCAUCGAAUCUUUGAACGCACAUUGCGCCCUGUGGUAUUCCGCAGGGCAUGCCUGUUCGAGCGUCAUUUAACCACUCACGCCUAGCGUGGUAUUGGGGCACGCGGUCUCCGCGGCCCUCAAAAUUAGUGGCGGCGCCGGUGGGCUCUAAGCGUAGUACAUACUCCCGCUAUAGAGUUCCCCCCCGGUGGCUCGCCAGAACCCCCAAUUUUUUACAGGUUGACCUCGGAUCAGGUAGGGAUACCCGCUGAACUUAAGCAUAUCAAUAAG
rnacentral:rRNA from 1 species